UGGGGAAUAUUGCACAAUGGAGGGAACUCUGAUGCAGCGACGCCGCGUGAACGAAGAAGGCUUUCGAGUCGUAAAGUUCUUUUAUAUGGGAAGAUAAUGACGGUACCAUAAGAAAAAGCCCCGGCUAACUACGUGCCAGCAGCCGCGGUAAUACGUAGGGGGCUAGAGUUGUCCGGAAUCACUGGGCGUAAAGGGUUCGCAGGCGGAAAUGCAAGUCAGGUGUAAAAGGCAGUAGCUUAACUACUGUAAGCAUUUGAAACUGCAGAUCUUGAAGAGAGUAGAGGUAAGUGGAAUUUUUAGUGUAGCAGUGAAGUGCGUAGAUAUUAAAAAGAAUACCGGUGGCGAAGGCGACUUACUGGGCUCAUUCUGACGCUGAGGAACGAAAGCGUGGGUAGCAAACAGG
rnacentral:rRNA from 1 species